AUUGUGUAUAUAAAGAAGAGUUGUUUCUAUCUUUCCUCAAGUGUGUUAGUUGAACGAAAAACCUUUGCCCAGGAGCUCAUAGAGCCGGACCCCAUUUGCUAAGUUCCUUUCACCUUGGGACUCACGGUCGAGCGUUCUCCGGACGUCGAUCAAUCUAUCACUCAAUCACAGGCCGCUCUGUCAUUGUCUGAUUUUUGGUUGUCUGAUCACACUCGAAAUUAUGUAUCUACUUAUCGUAUUUUUGCCUCUGCUCGGUAGUUCCAUAGCAGGUUUUUUCGGACGUUUUCUAGGAUCAGAAGGAACCGCUAUAAUGACCACUACGUGCGUUUCAUUCUCUUCGAUCUUAUCUUUGAUUGCUUUUUAUGAAGUCGCACUGGGAGCUAGUGCUUGCUAUCUAAGAAUUGCUCCAUGGAUCUCAUCGGAAAUGUUUGAUGCUUCUUGGGGCUUCUUUGGCGACCGUGAAGUCACCGGAUGAAUUGCCGAGUAGAUAGAUCAGAUCCGGACGCGGCUGUUGCUCCGCGGCGAUACGGACUCGACCCGCUCCUACCCACCCCGGGGUACCAUAGCAUGUCGGGAAUAAGGGGGGACAUACUGGACGUAAUCACUCCCUUGGUUGGGGGCUGUGCCCCCCUGCCUUUCGAAUCGAUACACAGUUGAGUAGGCCGAUCACGAACGCUACAGGUGUGGGAGCGAUCCUGGUCAGGGAAGGCUAAGACGGCGCCUCGCAUAUGGGUAGCAAGAGGGCCUUUAUGCCCCGACGGUGGGGCCUUAUGGGGAAGGGCCCAGCCCAAUAGGGACAGCACACCCCCCACUUCAAGCGCACCUCUGUAUCGACUGAAUCACUCUAAGGGUCUAGUCGGUGGAACCGGUGAACCACGCG
rnacentral:misc_RNA from 1 species